rnacentral:RNase_P_RNA from 23 species
CUAGAUGAACGACUUAUCGCUUUAAUUUAUUAAAGAGGAAAGUCCGGGCUCCGCAAAGACACAGUGCCAGAUAAUACCUGGCGGGGGAAACCCUAGGGAUAGUGCCACAGAAAAUAUACCGCCAUAACAUGGCAAGGGUGAAAAGGUGUGGUAAGAGCGCACCGGUUCUAUUGGUAACAAUGAACGCUGGAAAACCCCACUGGGAGCAAGACUAAGUAGAGAUGACAUUGUUGCAAAACUAAAAGCCGUCUUUGGCUAGUCAUCAGGGUUAGUUGCAUGAGCUUAAGAGUGAUCUUAAGCCUAGAGAAAUGAUAGGUUUAAAUGACAGAACCCGGCUUAUAGUUUGUCUAGCAAA